AUUGAACGCUGGCGGCAGGCCUAACACAUGCAAGUCGAGCGGAUGAAGGGAGCUUGCUCCUGGAUUCAGCGGCGGACGGGUGAGUAAUGCCUAGGAAUCUGCCUGGUAGUGGGGGAUAACGUCCGGAAACGGGCGCGAAUACCGCAUACGUCCUGAGGGAGAAAGUGGGGGAGCUUCGGACCUCACGCUAUCAGAUGAGCCUAGGUCGGAUUAGCUAGUUGGUGGGGUAAAGGCCUACCAAGGCGACGAUCCGUAGCUGGUCUGAGAGGAUGAUCAGUCGCACUGGAACUGAGACACGGUCCAGACUCCUACGGGAGGCAGCAGUGGGGAAUAUUGGACAAUGGGCGAAAGCCUGAUCCAGCCAUGCCGCGUGUGUGAAGAAGGUCUUCGGAUUGUAAAGCACUUUAAGUUGGGAGGAAGGGCAGUAAGUUAAUACCUUGCUGUUUUGACGUUACCAACAGAAUAAGCACCGGCUAACUUCGUG
rnacentral:rRNA from 1 species